rnacentral:rRNA from 1 species
AAAGGUUGGGUUAACUCCCGCAAAGAGCCCAACACUCGCCAGUAGUUGCCAUCAUUUAGGUGGGAAAUAUAAUGGGACUACCGGGGGUAAACGGGAGGAAGGUGGGGAUGACGUCAAGUGGUCAACACCCUUACAGGAUGGGAUACACAAAUGCUACAAUGGCGACUACAGAGGGAUUAUCGCGGAAGGUUGAUACCGUUUGGGAUGUCUUCUUUAAUUCGAAUGCCUCAAGGGGACUUAUGCGUAAUAGAGAUGCGGCAUGCCGCGGAGAAUAAUUUCUUGGGCAUUGUGCACACCGCCCGUCACACCAGGGGAGUUGGUUAUAACCAAGGGCGGGGCGC